rnacentral:rRNA from 1 species
UACGAAGGGGGCUAGCGUUGUUCGGAUUUACUGGGCGUAAAGCGCACGUAGGCGGAUCGUUAAGUCGGGGGUGAAAUCCUGGAGCUCAACUCCAGAACUGCCUUCGAUACUGGCGAUCUUGAGUCCGGAAGAGGUGAGUGGAACUCCUAGUGUAGAGGUGGAAUUCGUAGAUAUUAGGAAGAACACCAGUGGCGAAGGCGGCUCACUGGGCCGAUACUGACGCUGAGGAGCGAAAGCGUGGGGAGCGAACAGG